rnacentral:lncRNA from 1 species
UUCUGAUGAAAAUAUAAUACCAUAAAGAAAAGCAUAUUUAUUAUUCAUUUUAUGAGUGGGUUAUUAAAUUAAGGAAAAUCAAACAUUUAGUUCCUCAGUUGCACCAGCCACAUUUUAAGUGCUCAAUGACCACACAAGGUUAGUGAUUACAGUAUUGAACAGUGCGGAUAUAGAACAUUUCCUUACGGCAUAAAGUUCUAUUGUUCAGCACUGGAUAGAUGGAUGGAGAGAGAUGAUUAGGCUAGGUCAGUUAACAUAUCUAUAACAAUACAUUAUCUUUCUUCUAAUUAGCAAAUGUUAUGCUGUAAAGCAGAAGUAUUAAACCGUUAUUGUAUUUGAAUUCAAUUUAUUUAUUAAGCAACUGUCAUAUGAUAGGCCAUGUGU